UACGUAGGGUGCAAGCGUUGUCCGGAAUUUAUUGGGGCGUAAAGGGCUCGUAGGCGGUCCAUCGCGUCGGGGAGUGAAAAAGCUGGGGGCUCAACCCCAGUCCUGCUUCCGAUACGGGGUGGACUAGAGGUAUGCAGGGGGAGGAACGGAAUUCUGGUGUGAGCGGUGGAAAUACGCAGACUAUCAGGAGGAACACCGGUGGCGAAGGCGGUUCUCUGGGCAUUACCUGACGCUUGAGGACGAAAGCGUGGGGAGCAAACAGG
rnacentral:rRNA from 1 species